UACGUAGGGUGCAAGCGUUAAUCGGAAUUACUGGGCGUAAAGCGUGCGCAGGCGGCUUUGCAAGACAGAUGUGAAAUCCCCGGGCCUAACCUGGGAACUGCAUUUGUGACUGCAUGGCUAGAGUUUGUCAGAGGGGGGUGGAAUUCCACGUGUAGCAGUGAAAUGCGUAGAUAUGUGGAGGAACACCGAUGGCGAAGGCAGCCCCCUGGGAUGUGACUGACGCUCAUGUACGAAAGCGUGGGGAGCAAACAGG
rnacentral:rRNA from 1 species